rnacentral:miRNA from 1 species
CAUCUUACCGGACAGCAUUAGA